rnacentral:rRNA from 1 species
GAUGAACGCUAGCGGGAGGCCUAAUACAUGCAAGUCGAGCGGUAGAGUGACUUCGGUUGCUUGAGAGCGGCGAACGGGUGAGUAACGCGUACACAAUCUACCUUUAAGAGGGGAAUAGCCCUGGGAAACUGGGAUUAAUGCCCCAUGGCAUCACGAGACGGCAUCGUUUUGUGAUUAAAGCUGAGGUGCUUAGAGAUGAGUGUGCGUCUGAUUAGCUAGUUGGUGCGGUAACGGCGCACCAAGGCGACGAUCAGUAGGGGGCGUGAGAGCGUGGACCCCCACACGGGUACUGAGACACGGACCCGACUCCUACGGGAGGCAGCAGUAAGGAAUAUUGGUCAAUGGAGGAAACUCUGAACCAGCCAUCCCGCGUGCAGGAAGAAUGCCCUAUGGGUUGUAAACUGCUUUUAUCUGGGAAGAAAAGUCGGCAUUUAUGCUGAUCUGACGGUACCAGAGGAAUAAGCACCGGCUAACUCCGUGCCAGCAGCCG